ensembl:lncRNA
AUUCGAAGGAGGCCCUGGCACAGCUUCUCCGGGACCCCAGUGAGCCCCGUUUCAGAGCCCUCUUUAGACACACAGAAUACGAGGAGAGGGAAAGGGCAGCGUGGAGCCUUCUCUUCCUUAGUGCCCAGUAAACGCUGUGUCUGCUCACCGCCGCUUCAGUCCAGCCACGUGAAGCACGUGCACGACCUCAGAACUGAUCCAAUCCAAGCUCCUUUGUACCAGUGGGGAAACCAAGGGCCAGAGAAGUCAAGUGACUUGCCCGAAGGCACAGAGCUAAAAACUGAAGUCAGGAGACCGGGUCUCCUCACCCUGAGGUCAGGGUUCUUUCAAGCCAGAUUCUUUCUCAGUUUAGCCUGAGGCUGCCUGCUGCAAGGUACUUCCGUAACACCUGGAUAAAUCCUUCACAUGAUAAGACUUGUUGGACUCCAGAGACCAAGGUGUAUCUGCUUGACCCGGCCCCUCCACCCCUGAACCUGCCAAAACUCAAGGUGGAGAGUCCUACCACUGAAGCCCACCUCUGCCUUUUAUCUGCUGUUGACCACGGGCAAGUCACUUAACUGCUCUGAACUUCAGUUUGCUUACUGGAAACACAGAGAGAUCAUGGUAGUAUUUACUUCUUUGGGAGCUGUGAGGAUCAGGUGAGAUAAUCCGUGUAACUGACGAGGGCCAGUGUCCAGCACAGCCAGCCCUUAUAAACGAUAACAAUAUUCUUGUUUUUCUCCAACUUCUUACUGUGUUUCUC